rnacentral:rRNA from 1 species
GACAGAGGGUGCAAACGUUUGUUCGGAAUACUGGGCGUAAAGCGCGUGUAGGCGGUCUCGCAAGUCGGAAUGUGAAAGCCCAGGGCUCAACCCUGGAAGUGCACUCGAUACUGCGAGGCUAGAGUCCGGAGAGGAUGGUGGAACUCUCGGUGUAGAGGUGAAAUUCGUAGAUAUCGGAGAAGAACACCGGUGGCGAAGGCGGCGAUCUGG